UCUUGGUGUGCUAGCCACUGCCGCUGCUCUUUCUCCUCAGCCACUGCUGCUGCUGUUUCUCCUCAGCCACUGCCAUUGCUCUGUCUCCUCAGCCACUGCCGCUACUCUGUCUUCGCCGUAACCGCUACUGCUUCGACUCCGUCCUACUUCGUCUUUGCUCUCCCAGAUCUGUCACUUGCCCGACCAUUGUUGCUCUCUCGGAUCUGCACUUGCCCGACCGUUGUUGCUCACUCGGAUCUGCACUUGCCCGACCAUUGUUGCUCUCCCGGAUCUGUCACUUGCCGGUAUUUAUUUUGUUUAUGAGCUGAAAUUUUUGAGAAAUGAUUUGAGUGAUUUUUAAAGCUUCUUGAAAUUUCUAAGCUUUCUCAUAUGUAGUGACAAAUUUUGGCCAGCCUACUAGGAUUUUUCCUCAUUUAUUUUAGAGAUUAAAUCUAUUAAAACAAACAAUUUCUUCUGGAAAUUCUUUUAUACAGAUGCUUAAUUAUUUUAUUGGUUUAUUAAAGGGACCUCAAACAAAGAGGAGAUGUUGAAUGUGAAAUUAUGAUGCAUAUUUGACGAAAUGGCAAAUGUUUUAAUUUUUAUUUAAUUAUUUUGUCAUCUCACUUUAAUUUUUGUUCAGCUAAUUAAUUGUUUUUAAUAUGAUGAUAUUGUAGAUUAAUAGCAUGUACUGAAACUAGAGUAUUGUAGAUUAAUCAUAUUGGGGGUUAUUACAUUACUAAAAAUUGAGUGGGGGAUUAAUAGCAUGUACAGAAAAUUGUAUGUUUAUAUAUGAAAUUUUUAGUCAAAGUUAACAGAGCAAUUUCAAUUAUUCUUUUCGUUGUAAAUCCUUGUGCAAAAUAUUUAUUUUUCCCUUCGGCCUAGACAGUUGGCAGUGUUAAUAUUCUUCUUGGUGUCGUAUUCUGCUAUGCAAAUGCCCUUCCUGAUUGUAAUUUUUGCUUUGGAUGGAAUUCACAAUUUGAAUUUAUUGUCUGUCACUGUGAAAAUAUUGCCUGGAUAGAAUUCACUUCAAUCUGCAACUUGUAGAAGUGAGAACAAAAAAUAAAAACCUAUUUUUUUGUUGUGCCUUGAAAAAAAAUGAGUUAAAAAAUUUUGAUGAGAGGUCGGCCUUAAUUUAAAUUGGCUUGUGUAAUUUAUAAUUUAUGUAUAUGUAAGAGCAGUGUUUUUAAUUUGAUUAAUAUUUGAUAUAUGUAUUUUUUUAAUUUUUUUCGGGUAACAUUAAGUUUUUAAUGUAUGACAUGUUACCGAAAUAUGUAUAUGUUAUGUUGAAUUUGAUUAUUAUUUGAUAUGUGUUAUUUUUUCUAAUUUUUCAAGAUAUGGAUCCAUAUGAUGUUGAUGUUGAGGAUAAGGUUGAUUGGUCUAGCCGGACCGAAACCAUUUUUAUUCGUAUUGUACAUGACCAUGUUAAAAAGGGUGAUUUACAAACAUCAACUUUCACUAAGAAAAUUUGGAACACUAUAAGUGAUGAGUUGUUAGAACAAUGCCACAAAAGAUUCAAUGUAGGGCAACUUAAGUCCAAGUUUAAUAGGUUGCGCAAAAAACAUCGAGUGUUUUCUAACUUAGUAGCUCAUACUGGGUUUGGUUGAGAUCAUGUUUCAAAUACGGUCACAGCAUCGGAAGCUGUUUGGACUGAAUAUAUUAAGGUAAAACUAUAUUUGUAGUAUAUUAAAUAGUUUCGUAUAAAAUUAAAAUAUUAUUUUUUGGUUUUAUACACUUAUUUUUUUCCACAGAGAGUGCCUGGAGUGAAGCCAUAUCGUAAAAAAUGAUUAGAGCACUACCAAACCUUAGGGGAGAUAUUCAACACCACCACAGCUUCUGGCCAUUUACGUUUUUCCUCUAGCCAAGUUCCAUUGUUCUCGGAUGAGGAUCGUGAAUUGGAAAAAAAAUUUCUUGGUCAUGGAGUUCAUGUUUAUAUUGAGGAUGAUGAUUCAAUGGAACCUCUUUCCGAGACGAGGACAGAAAAAAGGCAUUGUCGGCAAGUUGCAACUUCAACUGAGCGUGGUAAAAAAAAUAAGAGUGAGUUUGACAGUUACUUUAAAAUGGCUAGUUCAGUGAUGAAUGCUAGAAUGGAGAUGGUUAAAUGCAAAAGUGCGGAGUCAACUUCUCAAUGUAUUGAAAAGUGGUCUAUUGAAGAGUGUAUUGAAGCUGGGGAGAAAUUGGGAGAUAUUGAUGGAGAUACAUACAACAAAUUGAUGGAUAAGCUAGUGCCUAGUAUUGAGUGGAGGAAAGCUUUUUUGAGCAUGCCUGAGCAUAGGAAAAAAUAUUGGUUAACUAGUUUAUAGUUUGUUUUUUAAGAUGUAAUGUGUUUAACUUGGAUUUUAUUGGUUGUGAACCGUGUGCUUGUUCAUUUUAUGGUUUGGACUUUGUAGUACUUUUAUUUGUCGAACUUUAUGUUAUUUUUAUGAGCUGAAAUGUAUUUGUUGAACUUUAUUUUAUUUUGGUGAAUUGAACUUUCUAAUGUUUUUAUUUAUUUAUUUGGUACAAUAUUUUUAGAUGGUGAAUGAUUUUGUAUUUGUGUGUUUAUUUAAUUUUUUUUUGGAUCAAUUAUCAUAUACUUGAGAUAUAAAUUAUGAUUUUUUUUUUAAUCAGAGCAGAAAAAUGAACAACAACAACAAUGAAGAUGAUGAUAUUGAUAGUUUAACAGAAAUUGAAGAAGAGGUUUUAGAGCUAGUUUACGUAAGGGAUAUGCAUAAUUAUAGUUUACGUAAGCAACGUCUAAUUCCAAUUGCAUGUUGCGCUUUACAUAACUUUAUUCGACGAGAAAAUGCAAGUGAUAGGUUAUUUGGGGACUUUGAUGUGCAAGAUUUGGUUACCAACGAAGAAGGAGACAUUAGUAGGCCACUUACUAAUAUUGAUUUAUCUCCAGCAAGUGUCACCGAUAUGAGUGCUACAAGAGAUAGAAUUGCAGCUUCUAUGUGGCAUGAUUACAUACGUAAUGUAUAAUGUCUAUAAUGUAUUUUUUAUAUAAUUAUUUUAUUUAAAUCAUGUGUUGUAAUAUAUAUCUUAAUUAUGAUGUAAAAACAAUGACAAUGUAAUUUUUUUUAAUUAAUGUUAAUUCUAAAACUUUAUCAUCAUGUAAAUUUUUUAUAAUAAUUUUGUUUUAAAUUAUUAUGUUGUAUUUGUGUAUGUAUUAGUUAAAUAAUUAUUUUAUAACUAUAAAUAUGAUGUAAAUGCUUAAUAGUAAAAACUGUUUUUGAAAAAUGUAUUACCGAACACAUAUUCUUUGCUUUAUCAUUUUCAACUGUGUCUACAGAACGCAUAUUACUGUUUCAGUUUUCAAAUACAGGAUACAUAAAAUGAUACCAGACACAUACUUAAAUUCAAAAUAUAGCAACUGUAAAACACCAUUUUCAUUUUCAUUUUUAUUAUCAGAAAAUACAAAUUCAAAAAUAAUACCAAACAAUUAAUCAUGAAAACAGAUCAUAUAACUUAUAUGCACAGAAAAAAUAAUAAUGUUAGCUCAUGUCACAUAGUGUCACUUAUAUUCCUGAUGAUCCAACUAGAAAUAAAAUCAUAAUAUCGUGUAUAGACUUAGAACAAAAACCCAAUACUGGUCUAGAACAUAUAUAUUCUCUAAAACGAUCAAAAUCAAAAUCAGAAUAACUAUGGAUAAUGAGCCAAGAUGUUUAAACUAAUUUUUCGUAAAUAACUACUUGUACUUGGCACUUUGUACUCUAUGCGUCACUUCAUAUCACUCUGACCCUCGAGAAGUGGCCCCCAAACAGCCUUAAAAGGUGGUCCCACAUAAAAUUUCAUAAAUAAUAUCAAUCGCAUAUGUGAAACAUUCAUAUUAGAUUCAUAAAAAAAUCAUUACAAUGAUUUAGGCUUGCAAAACGAAUAUCAUUCUAACAUUUUGUAGACGAUUUCAUAAAAGAUAAUUAUUUAACAAAAUAAAUUAUAUUUAAAAGAAUUUAGAAUAUUUUGUUAAAACCAUAAAAAUAUCAUAAUUUUCAUAUUUGAAAAUAUUUAUAUAAAAUAAUUUUGUUAUAAAAAUCAAUGAAUUUUUAAAGAUCUAUAAAAAUAAUCAUACAUAUCUAGUACACUAGGAAUAAAAUUACUUACCUCAACAAAAGCAAUGAUCAAUACACACAUAUAAGCCUUGAGCACUUAAAUAAAUGCAAGAUAUAACUAUUAGUAACUUAUUCCCAACAUCUUGAUUUUCUAACUCAUAACUGUACGAGGCUAAUUCUGUGAAUUAUUAAUCUUAAUUUAGUAAACAAAAUGACACAAUAUUAUAUAGAACUAUUUUGGACAUCCAUUGGUAUCUCCUAUAAAAUUUUUGGGACAUCUGAUACCAAAAACAUUUUGAAAACUAUUUGUUUCUUUACAAGAUCAAAAUUGUCUCACAAUACGUUAAAUAAACAGUAUAGGUUCCAAGAUUUUUAUAUGACUAUAUAUUAAUUACAAAAUUAUGAAACUAAAAAUGGAAAUACUAGAUACAUGUAAUAAGCUCUAUUUAAAAUCCAGAAUUUUUCGAGUUCUAUUGAAAAAGUUGGUCGUUCUACUGAAAUCAUAGUUUUUCAGUGCAAUAGUGUAUGUUUUAGAAUCCAUAUAAAAUCAAAUAAAAGUCAAUCUUAUGAAGUAAAAUUUAUUCAAUACUCUACAUGACUAGUAUGUAGAAAAAUAAUAUUCUUCUCAAAAAUCAUUGUCAAAGGUCAUGAUUUAGUACAAAAUGUUUAUGAUGUCUAGAAAAUAAUUCUAUAAGAUAUUUCUUACACCAAGAGCUUCAAACCAAGGAUAUACUCAUCUUAUUACCCACAGAAAUAUAAGCAAUAAGGACUCACCAAUCAAGAAGCUUCCAAUUAACCAAUAUCUUUAACCCUAUUGUAGAAGCAGAGAACGUUGCUAGGGGAGAGAGAUCGUAUUUUAUAAUUUAGGAUUGAGGGACGAGAAUAAGAAAAAAAAGGUAAUUUAUAGGGAAUCCUUGGAAAACCCUAGAAAAUUAGGAAAGGCUAAAAUCAUUCCCUAAAAUCUCCUAAUAAGCCAAUCUUAAGAAAUAACUUUCUCAUUUCUUUAUUAAAAAUUAUUAUAAUUAUUAAUAAAAAAUAAGCAUGUGUUACACAUUUAUUAAAUAAAUCAUAAAUGAAUAGACGAAUCAAUGUUCUCAAACUCAAAGUCCAUUUGUUUAAUUAGCUAAUCGAAUCAAAUUCAUUCAUUUAUUAAAUUAAUUAAUUUUUUAAACUCAAACCUAUUAAUUUGCAUCGAAUAUAAUCGAAUAAACAAUGACCCAACCCAUUGAUCAAUUCUCUUGAAAUGUUCAUUUUGUUAUUUUAUUUGAGUGAUAAUCAUGGUAAUUAUUAGUGAGAAUCUAGGUACAAUAGACUGAAUAUAUUGAUAAGAUUUUCUAUUCUAAUAUAGAUUCACUUCAAUUAAUAGUAGAUGCAACUAAAAUAUGGUUUUUAUGUAAUGCGAUAUAUUUUAAAUGUUGUCAUAACAAAAAUUCAUUCGUAACAACUUUAGUAGUGUUUGUUUUUUAUCUUGAAUAUGAAUGGUUUUUUUUUUUAAAUCUAAAUGGGUCUGAAUAUGAAUAUUUGAAUAACCUAUUUUUUUAAUAUCUGAAUAUAAAUGAAAUCUCCUUUGUUUUUAUAAAUUAAAAAUCUUAAAUAUUUUAUAAAAAAAAAAAAUCUUUAACACAGGUAUUUAACAUUUAUGUCUUUGAAAAUCAAAACAAAAAAAGAUUAGAUUUUAUAAUUUACGAAAUAAAUAUAUUUUAUAAAGAUAUUUUUUGAGUAUAAUAUUUACUUAUGAUUCAGAAAAUUUUUCAUUAAAAUAAAAGUAAAAAAUUACUUUUUUUAUUUAGAUGUAAAUUCUGAAAAUCAGACAUAAGUUACAAAGAACAAACAAACAAAUUUUGGAAAAGAUUUGAAAUGAAUAAAAUUUUAGACUUCAAAUAUUUAACAAGCAAUACUUUAGUAUUUUUGGUUUAGAUAGUCAAAUUAUAUAAUAAAUCAUUUUUAAAAUUUUUAAAAAUUCUAUCAUCCCUAUAUGUAAGGCAUUAAUAGAUUUGAAAUUUGUUAUUAUUUUAAAUUAAAAUUGAUUAAUCUUUUAUGGUCACAACUCUUUGGUCUAGUGGUUGACAGUUCGUUAUCUCUGUUUUAUGGUCAACCACCAAUUUCACUUCAUCAGUUUAUUCAGUAUACCAUCAAAUAUAGUCUAUCCUAGAUUAAUUAGAGUGAACCUAUUUGAAGUUGCUCAUUUCACUAUAGAAAAAUCUCUUCAUGUAAUUGUGAAAAUAAAAUUUCCAUCAAUUUUGGAGUGGAUUUCUAGAUUUUAUUUUUUAUGACAAAAGGAGGGCAAAUUUCUUUAUAUAUAUAUAUAUAUAUAUAUAUAUAUAUAACACAUACUUACAAUAAUAUAAUUAAGUCAAGUUGUAAGAAAUUAUUUAACAUUAUUUUAGUUAUUAAUUUUUUGAUUAUUUAUGUUCAAUAUUGAAUUUUAUGCCUAAAAUAACUUCCAAUGAAAACAUAAUGAUAAAAAAUAUUCGUUACAUACUACCUCCCAAAAAAAGAGAAAAAGAAAAAGAAGGAGAACAAGACAACGAAGAGAUGAAGAAGACAAAGUAGAAGGCCCGAAUAAAAAAAAGUUUUUUUUUACAGUAUUUUUGCGUCAUUUUAUCUUUUAAAAAUAAAAGGUAUUACACAUACUUUAUAGCCAAAAAUUUUCUCAAAAUUGAUUUCUUCAUUUUUCAUCUAAAUAUAAAUUAUGAUAUUGGAAAUAAAAGUUUUUAGCGUUUUAGGUAUGAGAAUUACAAAUUGAAUAUUGAGUGUGUUACAUGGAUAUUCAAAGUAAUUAUAUAAUAUUAAGUUAUAAUAAAUUGUCAUUGAUAGUAAUUCUCAUGAUGAGUGUUUUUGUAGUAUCUAUUUUUAUUAGGGGUGGGGGCUAUUUGAUCCCACUAAUUUCCUCUCUACAACUUUUUUUAGUUCAAAAUUUUAUUAUAUAAAUAACUUUUGAAAAAAUUACUUAAUUAACCCUUUCUUCUCCUUCUCUUCUCAAUUUUAUAAAUUCUUAUCAAUUCAUUUAGAUAUAUUAUUUUAGCUGCAAAUAAGUGGUAUCACCAAAUAAGAGGAACAAAACUUAACAUUUAAAAAUGAAUAUCAACAAAUUUUUAUCAACCAUGAACGUAAAUGAAUAUCAAGAAAUUAAUUUUCACAAACACAAAAUCUAAUGAAUAUCAAGCAAAAAAUUCUUAUAUAUAGAAAACAGAAAAUAUAAAUCAUGAUAAGCUAAAAAAGGUAAAAAAAUUUUAAAAGAGAGAGAAAUUGAGUGUUUAGUUUACAAAAUGUGAGAGUAGAGUGAGAAUAUGCAAUUGUAAGGUAAAGAGAGAAAUUAAUUAGUGAAGGGAAUUUGGAAAUUUUAAAUUUUUAGUAAUUAAUUUAUUUUUUAAAAUGGGUGUAGAGAGGAAUUUUGUAUUUUAAUAGUCUCACCUUUUUUUUAUAAAUUAGAAUGUUAAGGGUAAAUUUUAGAGUGCAAAUAGUCCCACCCAAAUUAUUGUCAUUAUUAUUAUUAUUAUUAUUAUUAUUAUUAUUAUUAUUAUAAUUACUGUUAUAAAAAAUUACAAUAAUAAGAAUAAUAACAAAAAAACUAAUACAAUAUAAUAGAAUAAUAUUUUAAUUGAGGGUAAAAAUAAAAUUACAAAAUUUGGAAUUUUGGAUGGGGUAAAGGAAAGUUUAGGGAAAGAAUCAAGUUCCUAUUUCUUAACCCUAAAAAUAUGUAGGUCUAAUAUGUUUUAUUUCUAUUUUCCUUCUAUUUUAAUAAUUAAAUAUCAUUUAUCAUUCCCAUUCUAAAUUCUAAUUAUGUAAUCUCACGAGUAAACACCAUUAAUAUACAUGCAUACAGACACACACAUAUAUAUAUGGUUCAAUGUCUUAUCUUACACCGUCACCAACCGUGCCCAAAAAGUAAGGGCCCCCAAGAGAUAAGAUGAGGGAUUUAGGUAGUUUAACUCUUCAGAAUCGUUGAAUGAGGCCCAAUAAAGCCCACUUUAAAAUCUACUUUUAUACCUUUCAUAAAAAUUUUACUAUGUCACAGCUGAAUAAAAAAUAAAAAGAAAACAAUUGCUCUCAAUCUCUGCCCUUUUAAUCCACUCAAUUGAAAUUGAGGGGGUUUAUCUAGGGUUCCAUCUCUGCACUCGUUACUCACUCCAGUGUCAAUGGCGAAUCCACCGCGGGGCCGCCGCUCGCCCCCGUCGAGGUCCGCUUCCGGCUCAUCAUCCCGGUCCCGUUCACGCUCCUACUCCGGUUCAGACUCCCGGUCCAGCUCCCGUUCUCUCUCCUCCCGCUCUAGAUCCCUUUCUCGCUCGCGCUCUUUAUCUUCCUCUUCUUCUCCUUCUCGUAGCACCAACUCUCGGAGCCGCAGCCCCCCGCCUCAACGCAAUAAGAGGUGAAUUUACCUUUUUCCACUUCUUAAUUGUUUCUACAAGAUUAGGAAUCCUAAAUGAAUACUGGUUAAUUUUCUUUAAUUCUGUUGUAUAUUUACUUUUUAACUUAAAUUCUCUCUAUUCGAACAAAUUUAAGUGUAAGAAUUGAUGUUUCUCCUACACACACACACACACACACGCGCGCGCCCCCAUAUAUAUAUAAAUAAUGCUAUUUAACUGAAAAUGAUUACCAAUAUAGAAUUUUACAUACUUUUUUCAUUUUUAGAUUAUUAUUUUCGAAAUACGCAACUUGAAGCCUUUUGAAAUCUAAAAACGUCAUACCAGAAGCUCUAAUUUCAUUUUUUAAGAACAAAUUCACAAUCACGUUUAGAAUCAAUAGUAGAUGCAGCCUAGGCAACUAAUUGGAUUUGAUCUAGAUUUUAGCAGUGGGACUUACCCUUUAAAUAUUUACAAAUUUUUUAAGUUUAAUCAAAAUUGUGUAUUUGAUAUAAAGAUAUUAUUAUUUUUUUUUGGGACAGUCCUGCUGUGGCAGCCAGGCGAGGUCGCUCCCCAGCUCCUCCAUCUAAAAGAGCUUCUUCACCCCCAAGGUAAUCUUGUAAUUCAAAAUUGUGUUAGUUGAUUUUAAAUUUUUGUUUUCAAGUUUUUUUAUUAGGUUUAGGGUGUUAGGUAAGGCAGUUUUUGCUUAGCUUUCUAGUUGUUGUUGUUGUUGUUGUUGUUAUCUUUUAGAAUGUGCUUUUCAGUUUACUUGUGGGAAGUAUGCUUUGUAAAAAUCACCAAAAAAAAGUUGAAGAAUAGACUAAUUUAGGCCUUAGUUUUAGAGUAGUCUUGGAAACUUAUUAAAUUUGCUGUGAGGUUACUGAGCAAAUCUUUUGCGAGCAGCUAUUUUUCCUCUCUUGCUAUAAAUAAAAAUGAUGCUGUUUUGCUUCUAGAUAGGUACUUGUAAAUCAAAUGGUGCUUUUUUCUCUUUUGUUUCUGAGAGAAGAAACCUUUAAGAGGGUAAUCGAGUGAUGCCUAAGUCUUUGUUUUUUUGUGAAUUUCAUAUUCAUAGUUUAGGAAUAAGACUGAGGAGAUACUAGCUACUUGUUAAACGUAUCAUUAGUUGGUUAAGUUUGAUAUUUCACUGCAUUUUUAAAAUUCCUUAAUGGUGUGAUUCACUUUCCUACUUGCUAUGUCAUCAUCUAUUAACUGUGUCAUUUUCUAUUAAGUUAUUCAUUAAAUUUGAAGUAAUUAUUAGCCUAGGCAAUAUAUUUUCUCAUACAAUAUGGGUGGGUUACUGUUUCUUUGCAUAGUUUUCAUGAGUUUAGAUCUAGAUUGUGCAUAUGCUAGAACUUGUGUUUUAUUCUUAAAAAUGUUUUGCUGCCCCCAGAUUGUCCAGGGGAGUUAUUGAUACUGUUCAAUAUUCUUUGGCAAUCAUGUUUUUGCUUGAGUUCCCAUGAAAUCAAUAUCGAUCCACCUAAAUGUUCGUGCUUGAAUUCUUACAUUUUGUCUGUACUGGAACUGAUUUCAGGAAAGCUUCCACAGAAAAUGAUUCUCUUGUUCUCUACAUUGACUCACUCAGCAGGAAUGUGAAUGAAGGCCAUUUGAGAGAAAUAUUCAGUAAGUUAUCCACUUAUUUUCUUGUACCUUUUACUGCACUUUUGCAUCCUAGUGGCUGAAUAAUGAUUGUACAUUUUAAAAUAUUCUUUCUGCUUUUUCAUUGUAUUUGCACUUGAAGAAAGUGUAAUCUCUCUGAUGGGUGACUCUCCUUGGUCCAUUAUGGUCCUUUUUGAUAUGUGGUAUCUUGGGUAGCACUAUGCUUGCCUUGUUAUAACUUGAAUGCUUGCCUUGUUAUAACUUGAAUAAGUGUUUCUUUAUCAUUUCACAAUGAUUUCUUCAUCAAGCAUAAUUGGAGUUGGGCUGCUGGUUGGCUAGUUUCAUGGGGUUGUUAAGUAUGCGGAAUUUAGUUAAUUUCGGAAAGUGCUCUUUAUGGAAAUGGUACUCUCUGACACAUAGAAAACUUGCAUGGUUCAAUUCUCCCAGUAGACAAUCAAAUGAUUAAAGUGAAAUCUUUGUUGAACCUGUUGUUUCAAGGACAAUUUGUUCACUACAACCAUUAAAUGACGCUGAAACUUUCGAUUGCGGGAUUGAUGUUUAGGACUUAUGCUGGAGCAAUGAUUUAUGUCUAUGGGAAUAGCUAUUCCUCACAAUCCAUAUUCAUGUUUCCUUGAUCUUGAUUCAACUUAACUUUUUAGUGAGGGUGAAUGAAAUAUGGAAUAGGAGUUGGGAUGUUAUAUUCUGGAGGUGCAAACAUUGACCGUUUUGGUUUUUUUUUUUCUCUUUUGAAAUAUACAAAUAUUUGGUGUUUUAGGCUCUCUCUUGAUGUAUUACAGUGGUUUCUAGUUAUAGAAAAUUUUCUACCCUUGCAUCAAUAAUGCAAUUAUAAAGUUGGUUAUAUGUUGAUCUCCAACGGACUAAAUAGUAGAUUGCAGAUAACAGAUAAGAUAACUUUGAUGUUCAAUAAUUGAUAAAUUAGUAUGCCUGCUUGUUGGAUAUAAAUUAAGUUUGUUUUGAGCUGUCUGGCCUAUACAUGUAUUGCCAAUACUGUGUACAACAUGUUCACUUGUGAAUUUUAAACAUGAAUAUAAUUUUUUCCCCUGUUUCUUAUUUUAAAAAGAACAUGUGCAUCUUUCUGUGAAUAUGUGGGCAGUUAUUGAAGGAAGCUUCUAUCAUUUAAAAGAACCUUUUUUGUUUGAAAGCUAAUAUUCUAGUAAUUUUGGUGCAGUUUCGUUGUGAUCAUUCUCAUGUUGUUUUCAUCUGUUACUUUGCAGGUAACUUUGGUGAAGUUGUGGAUGUCGAGUUGGUUAUGGACCGCGCUGUAAGCUUAAAACACAUUCUGUUAUGUAGUCGAAAUACUUACAUUUCCCUGCUCUAAUUAUUGAUAAAAAUUUCUAGGUUAAUCUUCCAAGAGGAAGUGGAUAUGUUCGUUUCAAGACAAGGGCAGAUGCUGAAAAGGCACAAUUAUACAUGGAUGGUGUAGGUUUAUCUAAGAUUUGGGAGUAAAUUUGUUCUACUGAGAGUUUAGAUUGUUUGGAAAUUUAUGCUAAUUGCCUAUUGCAGGCCCAAAUUGAUGGGAAUGUUGUUCAUGCAACAUUCACAUUGUCUUUGCUGAAAAAAGUUUCACCGCCUCCAAAGCCUGUUGCAGCUUCUUCAAAGAGAGAUAGUUCGAGAACUGAUAAUGUCGGUGCUGAUAUUGAGAAGGAUGGGCCAAAACGACCAAGAGAACGUAAUCUACUUACCUUAGAUUUAUGUCAUGAUACUUAAAUCUGUUUGGUGAUAUUAAAUCUAUUUGGAGCACCUUUAACGAUAUUUUUUUAUUAUAUUAUAACAGCCUCUCCCCGUCGGAAGCCACCCCCCUCGCCACGGAGGAGAUCUCCUGGACCUAGAAGAGGUGGAUCUCCUAGACGACCACCAGAUUCUCCUCCACGUAGACGCAUCGAGUCUCCCGUUCGUCGUCGAUUGGAAUCUCCUUAUCGCCGAGGUGAGACCCCUCCGAGGCGGAGACCUGCUUCUUCACCUAGGGGUCGCUCUCCCUCCCCUCCACCUAGGCGGCAUAGAUCUCCUGCAAGGUUGGUUGCUGAUUUCAUUCAUUACAUGUUUGCUUGUUUAGCUUUGAGUAAUGUUAAAGUCUUUGACUAAUUAUUGUCCUUAUAGGGCCUCUCCCCGAAGAAUGCGUGGUAGUCCCAUCCGACGGCGUUCUCCUCUUCCUCCAAGGCGCCGGUAAUAUAUUGAUUGAUUAAUUUGUAAGAUUUAAAAAUUUGGAUCGUUUAGAAGUAGGUGCUUGCAAACUGUGAACCAUGUUUACUUAAUACACCAUGUUAAGUGUUGCUAGUGAAAUUGACUUGGACAUUGCCUUGUUUGUGACACUGACUCAGCUAAAAUGAGUGAACCAACUGGUUUUAAAAUAAAAUUUGAUUCCACCUUCUGUUAUGUGGGCAGGAGCAAGAAAAUGGUUUCUUGUUGCCUAACUCCUUGGUUGGAUAUAACUUGUUACUCUGAAAUUGUCCUGUUCUGGCCUACUGUGACCUUUUGCUUGUUGCAGUCAAAAUAGAUGGAUUCUAGUGUUCAUGUAUUACUUUCUUAUAAAUUGUUGUGCUUUAUAUAUUCAUGUAAAUUGGUGCUUGUCUUACUAGCAAUUUUGUUUCAUUCAGUUCGCCUCCCCCUAGACGAGCCCGUUCUCCUCCUAGAAGGUCUCCACUCCGUAGACGCACUCGCUCUCCAAUUCGCAGGCCUUUGCACUCUCGUUCAAGAUCUCUUUCACCAAGGAGGUAAGAUCUGAUUAUGUAAAUCAUGUGGAUGUAUUUUUUCAUUUUGAGAUAUUCAUGUUGACCCUACUUCAGAAUAUUAGUUGGGUCUUCUGUCUUGACCUCCUUUUGCUUCUGUUUAAUGGAAGAUAUAACUUAAUUGAAAGGGAUCCAGAGGAAGGUUAUUGGGCAGGAAAGAUAUAUUCAUAUGUAAUUCAGUUAUAAUUAUAAAAUAAUGAGUUGUAUAUUUGGCCAGAUUCUGAGAGAUUCUUGUAGCCAGGUGGAAGUAGAUCAAUUCAUAAAAGCAGAAACCAGAACUUCUACAAACACCUAUAAACAAUGAACAGUUUGUAUUAUCAGUUCUUGCAGAAUGUAUAUGGUUUGUGGUGUUUUGGUACGAGUAACUGAAAGUAUGUUACUGUUGACAACUUGAUGCCGCUCCACCUUUGAAUUUGUGACAAGUGUACCAUGGUUUACAAAUAAUUAAUAGAUAAAGAUGUUGGUUCAAUGGUUAGUUUACUCUUUAAGAUCCAUAGAAAAUUAAAAAAACCUAACUGGGCAUAUCUGUUCAUUUCCCCUAAUCAAAACAUCUGUGAUUGCUAACAAAAACAAACAAAUUGAAUCAAAAAGAUGUUUUAAUUUAGUUCAGUUUAAUGCUUCAGUCCUUAGUUGCUAAACCCUAGUCUUGCGACCGAUGCUUAGUUGCAAAACCUUAGUCUUUCGGCCAACGCACCCCUAGUCUUUCCACUGAUGCUUAAUGUAUUUUUCUUGUAUUGUUAGCCUUGGCCUUCUUAUGUCGCUAAUGAAGUUGACUAGCAUGGUUACAUUAUACUACUGUUAAAAAUGUCUUGUCCCUACUUAUGAUGUCUUACACUGCAAAAUACUGUGAAACUUGCCCAUUAUUAUGUUCAUAACAGUUUUAUCAUUACUUUCUAACCUUUCUAACAAUGUGUCUUUGUUGUGAUUGUGUUUAAAAGAGGGCGAGGGCCACCUCCAAGACGUGGGCGAUCAUCAUCCUACUCUUCAUCACCUAGUCCGCGCAGGGUUUGUGUCUUGUUGUGCUUUUUUUUAAGGAAAAAAAAUUUACCUUACUAGGUGUCUAAUCUUUGGCUUCAUCUGUUACCACUGCAGCAGGUACCUCGAAGGAUAUCAAGGAGUCGUAGUCCUAAAAGGUCUCUCUCUCUCUCUCUCUCUCUCUUCCACUCUCCCUUCUGUCUAUCUACAUGUGUGUUCAUGUGAUUUAAACCUUGCAACCUACAAGAUUCUUGAUCAAUUUAUGUUGUUAAAUAACACUGAUUUUCUCCUUUUUGAAUGAUUAUUGUGGAUUAUUAUUAUUUUUAAUUCUGAAAACAGGUAGAUGUAUUCACGGAAGUCCCUUUUCUUCCCCAUCCCCACCCCCCAGUUUGGGUGGGUUUUGGGGUUCCAUAUUUUAAACAAAAGGUAAAAAACAUGAACCUAUUAUGUUAUAAAAUACAACCUUGAAAACCUAUAUAUGAGCACCAAGUAUAUCCUACCAUUCUCUACCAAAAACUCAUCAUCCCUUCGCAAAUUGGAUUUAUAAAGAAAAACAACGAAUCUUGAAAUCCCUUGAAGUUGAAGCCCAAAGUGAAGCAAAAAGACAAACUCUCUGCCGCAAGCCCAAGUUUUCUUCUAUGUUUAUGAAAAAUAGGUUUAUUUCUUUCCCAAAGAUAAGCUUAUAGAAGAUCCGGGAAAAUGCAUCUCCGAAGCGUUUACUCCUAUAUGUUUUCUGUGGCUUCGAUAAUACCACAUUGUUAUGCUUUAAAGUAGAAUUUUGGAAAUUGGGGGUGGGAUGUGGUGGGGAGAAAGGAGAGAGAUAUAAAUGUGGGACUGGUUUGAAUCUGUGGAAUCUAUAUUUUACUAAUUCUAGGCUAGGUAUAUGAAACAACUGUAUUAGUAAACAACAUUCUCUCUUAAAAGUAUAUUUUGUGGAAAAUUCUAGAUGAUAAAGAUAUCUUUUCAGUAUUAUUAUAUUCACAAAAGUAUUGAAGUAGGAGUUCAAAUUCAUGGCAAUAAGUAGCUGUUGGUUUAUGGCAAAAAUUUCCCCGGCCAAGAUGAGGAUAGAAGGAAAAAAAUUGAAACUUGGAUUGCACAUUUGUCAUUAUAUGUUAGUUUAUAUCCAUGAACAAAGCAAUUGGUUUGCUGUACAGUUUCUAGGCAUCAACAUGGUUCAUUGAAAGAAUGUGGUACAGGUUGAUUUUUUCUUUUUUUUUUCCAAUAAUUAUUAUGUUUACCCUCUAUCUCCAAUAUCAUAUGUACCCAAUAUCAUCAGAAGAAAUUUAGAAAAAAUAAUCUUCCCGUGUUUUGACAUUUUUAUCUGAAAAACUUGCUCAUGCUCAGUGGUACAAUAGGAAAGCUUGGUUUCUUUGUAGCUUGGCCUUGAUUUUUCUGUUUUGAUUCAGCUUUUUCUUAUGAAAAUGGUGGUUUAUGUGUGUAGGCCUUUGAGAGGAAGAAGCACUAGCAACAGCAGCAGCAGCAGUUCCCCAGCUCGUAAGCCAUAGUAGGUAAUUUCUCUACUCUAUAUCUCUCUAGCUUUUUCUCUCCCUUGCACUUGGCGAUGUAAAAGUCUAUGGUUUGAAACUGACGUUUUAUAGACUUGGGAAACGCUACUUUGUGCCGGUGUUGGUAUUGUUAUAAAAACUUGUCAUUGGAAACUAUUUUACUGUAACUUUUAUUAGUUUUGUAAGUGUACUUUCAUGGACAAUCUCUGGUUAUUUUGUGUUGGUGUUGGUAUUGUUAUCGAAACUUUGUCAUGGGAAAUUGUUUUACCGUAACUUGUACUAGUUUUGUAAGUGUACUUUCAUGGACAAUCUCUGGUUACUUUUGUUCUCACGACUAUGAUAAGCUGAAGUGUCAAACAAUGUAUCUGCCUGCAUGUAUAGUUGAUGUGCAACUUAUAGUCACUUGUGUCUGAUUUGUGACGUGGAAUGCAAUCUUGCUUUUCGAAGUUUCACAUUGCUGCCAUUCCCUAUAUUCUUUUUAUCUACACAUUGAAGGGGCAACUUGUGUUUUGAUAGAGCCAGCAAUAACAAUGCACCUGAAUGAUAAGAGGAGAUAUAGGAACAAGAAAUCACUGCUCAUCAUAUGCGAAAGCGAGAUACAUGAAAUUAAGAGAAAGAUCACUCUUAGCCUUUAAAGAGCAUAAUACAGUUAAUGCAAUAUUAUGGAUGAUUUAACCAAAAACUUUAAAGUGAUUAGCGAUCAAUCAAUGAAAUUUUCUCUUGGUUUCAAGGAAAUUUAACUGGGGCUAAGCAGCGCUGUCGUCUCCAUAAAAUUGAUAAUUCGGAAACGCCAAACCAAUGGAAUAAAUAAGAACAAAUAUUAGCAUAAAAUGGUUACGGUAUGUACCAGACAAGUUCUGGAUAUGCGAAGUCUAAACUAAUUAUGGAUUUAUGGUAUUCAAAUUAAUUACAGUAUUCAAUGAUGGCUGGGUUUCUAAUUCUAAUUAUUAUGGUAUUUCAUUAUUCUAUGACGGUUUGGAAAGUGUAAGAAAAUUGUGACUCUUGCUGUCGUUUGUGGAAGAUAUGACUUGUGUCUUGACUGGACCAAUUCAUCACGUACUUUAGGACUUACCAAAGAUUUAUGAGUUAAAAGAAUACAGUAACCUGUUGUGUAUAGGUAACACGUGACAACUCUUAAUAAAGUUAUUGGAGAAACGCUUACCUAUCAUUUGAAUUCUAAAUCAAAUGCAUCAAUGUAUUCUUUUAUACAGAAAACUUAAAGUCGCGUAAAUUUUAUCUUUUGCAUCACGAAAGAAAGAAUAAAUCAGGCUGAUAAGAUAACACUCGAUGAACAUGAUGAAAGAGAUGUUUGAUUCCACGCAUAACUCUUAAGAACACGAUACAAUCACUUUUGGGGAAAAAAUAUCAACAAUUAUAAAUAUUUAAUAGAUUAAUAUUUUGUUGAACACCGAUUAGUUAAUGAAGUUAAGAAAUAAUAACAAUAUCUACCAUUAGUUCAUUAUAUUAUAAUAUUAACUAAUAAAUUAAUUUUCUUAAUAACGAAAAGGCUUUCAAAAAUUAGUAACCGAAUAAAAUGGAAUGAAUUUAGGAGUAUCAUUCAACACAAACUCGUGAUUUCAUUUGAUAACUCCUUACUCACAAAAAUAUCUUAAAUCAAAAUAGUAAGAAAAAUGAGUUGAGAGUAUGCUGUAUUUUUUUAAUUUUUUUUUUUUUUGGGACAACAAGUAUGUCUAUAGUUUGGAGAAAAUAAAUUUGAGUUUUUAUUUAAGUAGUAUUAUUAUUUAUUUAUUUUUAAUACUAAAUUACAAAUUUAUUAAUAAUUAUCUUAUGAAGAAUUAAGUCCAGCCCAAUAUUUAACAAGAUUUUUCUCGAUGUAAAAUUGAAGUAUUGCCCAUAAAUCUAGUAACAUCAAAGGAGAAAUAUAUGGUCCUCCCUAACAGCCAAACUAGGAAUGGCAAUGAGGCGGGGAUGAGGAGUUCUACCCCAUUUUCUACCUUAUUAAAAAUUUCUCUCCAUUUCCCACCUCAUCCCUCAAUAAAUUUUAGUGUAGUGGGGGAUGAGGAAUUCUCAUGUGGAGAAUGAUUUCUCUAUUUCCAUCUCGUCGCUCAUUUACUUAUUUCAUAAUAAGUAGGGAUAAAUUAUUUCAGUAAAUUAAAAACUAGAGAUUUAAAUAAAAUCAUUACCAUAUUAUAAAAUAUUUAAAUUAUUUUUAAAAAAAAUCUCUAAAAGGUUGAAAUAAUAUAUUAAAAUAAUAUCAAAACUGAAAAAUAUUUGAAGAGAGCAAUAUCUUGAGAGAAAAAAAAAACAUAACACUGUUUUAGGGUUGAAUAAGAAUUAUAAUGUAUGGUUUUCUUUUAAUUAUAACCUAUUUAUAUUUGGUAAAAUUAAAAAAAUUAUUAAUCAACAUUGUAAUUGAUAAAACAAAGAUUAUUGAUAAAAAUUUAAAAAAUAUUCAUAUAUAAUGGAAAUUGAGGUAGGAAUUACAAAACCAAACCCCAUCUCAUUAAUAAUUUGAAGAUUAUUUUUCUCUCAUAUUUCAUUUUAUUUCUUAAAAACUAUUCAAAAUUUACUUUAUUUUGGUUGUGGUCUCAUGAGGCUUCAAACCUGUGAAGGAUUUUGCUAUCUCUGUCCCAAACAUGAGGAGUUUGAUUUCUUAAUUUAAAAAUGAGGUAAGGAAGUAGAGGAAUAAAUUUUAUUAAUUAUAAUUAUAUAAAUGUACUGAUAUUUAUAUAAAAUAUCGAUUAUAAUCACCCAGCUCAGACUUAUUAGGCACAUAAGUGUUAUUAUUUAUAAAAAAAAAAUUGCAUGAACUGAUUAAGACAUAAAAGUCGAGUAGUAUGCUUACGUGGCACCAGUACGCACAGGAGGGAGGGUAAUGUAGAGUAAAGCACCGGAGAGAAUCCCCGCACCCACACCGAUCAACUGGCUGCUGUCCAAGCAGAAGCAGCGUUCAGCCAAACCCUAAUUCAGAUUCCAUAUACGAAUUCGCAUAUUAUCAUUAAAUUUAUUCCCUCAAAGGUCAGCGCUUUCUUGCUCUCUGUCUUUAUUUGUGUUUGAAGCCCAAAAAAAAAAAAAUUGUUGAUUUUUUCUGGAUUAAAAUUUGGAGCUGAUUUUUGUGCAAAUGCUAUAUAAUUACAGAAACUAUAAUUCAUUUAGCUGUUUAGUGAUAUAUAAGAUGACUGUUGAUUUAAUUUGUUGCAUUGGCUGUAGGCUAAUUAGCAGUGAUAUUAGUCAAAUGAAGCAUUUAUAUGGAUGUUCUUAAUUGAAAGUGGCCAUUUACAAAUUCCUCUAUUUCCCCUCUUUAUUUUUUCGUAUAUUACUGUGUACUAGUUGGUUUUGGUUUAAAAUUUUUAACGGUUGAACACAUUCAACACUAUCAUAUUGAGUGGAAACACAGAGAAGAUGUACUUGUUUUGGAAUUUUAAAGCCAUGAAUUGGGAAUUAGGUCAAAAAUUGAUAGGGAUAUCUCCGGUGCUAGGUUCUUAGCUGAACGACUAUGUGCAGAGUUGUUCAAGCUAAGCGGUUGGAUCUUGGUAGUACAGCACUACUGCUGGCUUGUCAACUAUAAUUUUUUAGUGCAUGAUUGGUGUUGCUCUAUUUUCUGGCUUUUAACUGUUUGCUGUUCUUCAUCUGUGGUGCUCACAGGUUGGUUGGAUUUAUUUUGAAACCAGUUGGCUGGACUAGUAAGAUUAUUUCAUGGCGAGCAAUGGCCUGCCAUCUCUGGGUCGUGUGAAGCUCACAGAUUUAAUGCCAUCUGAAGGACUUCCUUCUGAUUCUUAUAAGCUAUCUGCCACGACUUUAUCGCAAUCUUUUGCUCAGUAUUCUGCUGCCAUCAUUCAGUUUCCUGCUAGUGAUGGGCCUCUCUUGAGAUCUUGUUUAGAAUCUGCUCGCCUCUACUUCCAUCAAAGACCAUCAUACCCAGCUGCAGAAAUGAUCCAUACAAAUGAUUCUCGUGAGUGGUGUAAGACAUCUGGUUACUAUGCUGAUCCUCAACAGUGGCAGGAAACUUACGAUUACAGGCCUGGCAUGACUCCUUCAGAACCCAACAACUCAUUGGAAUUCCCUCCUGCUGGAUUGCCUGACAUUUUUGCUUUGCUCGGAAAGGCAGCUCGAGAAAUACUUGAUGCCAUCAGCUACUGUCUGAACUUGCGCAGCUCUCCAUUCACUGAAGUACUUGAUAAUGUCCCUUUGAGAAGUCGGGAGGUAUCAUCUUCAGUUUUGUCUGUUUGCUGUCAUGCAAGGCCAUCAUUUCAGGGAGCACAACACCACAAUUUAACAAACCAAGAGGAUGGCCCAUUAGUUAUGUAUCCCGAACAGGAUCAUCAUGUUGACAAAAGCCUUGUCUCUAUUGUUCAGUCAGAUAAGGCGGGUUUGCAUGUAAGAGACUUUCAUGGUCGGUGGGUUCUAGUGGAUGGUGACCUUGGUCCUCAAGAAGCCGUCGUUUUCCCUGGCCUCGCACUAUAUCAGGCAACUGCAGGUUAUGUUAACCCUGCACUUCACAGAACAGAGGUCAAUAAUCUGCAGGGUAACAUGUAUGGAAGAUUUUCUCUGUCAUUCAAGCUCAUGCCUAAAUCCAUGAGUAGUCUCAGUUGCUCUGAGAUGAGGGCAGCUGGUCACGGAGUUGAAGCUCAAUUCCAGCUUCCUGUGCCAGUGGAUGACUUCAUGCAGAGGUCUCAUCCGACAGAUCAGCUCUUUAAUAGGCAAAGCUUUCAGACUUUCACUUUCCCUACAGCCCAAGAUGGUAAGCAUAAUUUUAAUGAUAUCUAUCAUUUUGUUUAUAUUAUUUUCUCAUUAAUUUCCUUUAAAACAUUUGGAUGAGCCUUAUUUUGUUAUAAAUAUUGCUCUCACCUUACUCUGAUCAGGCUCCUCAUUUAACAUUGGAAUUUCUGCUCAUGCAUUGGCAGGGAGGGGUGUCAAAGAUGAACAAGAGAGAUUUUUUUUUUUUUUGUGUUACGUCCAUAAUAAUAAUAAUAAAUAAGAAAAAAAAAUAAUUGUCUUUGAGCAUUCCCUUUUUGUUCAGCUGCUUAAAUGUUUUAGUUUUCUUAGAUCUAGUUGUUGUGUGCCUGCUGCUUAAAUGAUUUUGUGUUGUAAUCAGGUUUAGUUCUCCUUUUCUUUGUAAGAGAGGAAAAAAGGCUUCUAAGAGUGAAAAUUAUAACUUGGAAAUUAUGUUUCAUAGUUAAAAAAAAAAAAAUUGGACAAAAAUUUAAUUAUUGGUGAUCAGCUGUGCUUAAUGUGCAUGGUAAUGGUUUAUUAUUAGUUUUAGAAGGACUGGAAGUAAACAGAAUUAGAGAAUGGAUAUCAGAAGAGAGGUUUGAAUUUUACUCUUAAUGAAAUAUUUUUGUUUCUUUACCAUGUGGACCAUCUUGAUGAUGGAUUAUCAUCUUUCCUUUAUGGUUGGAGUAGUUCUUAGUGAGAAGCUUUUAACAGCAGGUCCUUGGAUCGAUGAAAUGCUGGUACAGGAUCUAUAAAGCCAUCAUUGAGGAGGAGGAAGAGUAAUUCAAGAUGCAAACCUCUGCCCCCUUCCAAGAGGUUACGACUCGAAGCCCAGAGGGUCUUGAAGGAAAGGGUUCAAGAGAUUGCAGAUAAGAAGGGUAUCAAGCUCAGAUUCUGUAACCUCAGGGAGUGUGAGAGUCACAUUCAUGCACUUGAUAGCCCGUGUGCCAACAUAAGAAUGGAGAUCAAGUGGCCAGCUGGAGUUCCAUUUGUUCAUCCCCAUGAUUUACCAAAUAAGGCAAAAAUCAGUUUUCUCGAAGCUUAUGAACCUGGUUGGACGGCCACUCAUGAUAUGGAUUUAAGUCCAACUGAACCUGGGCAAUCCAGUCAACACUCAGCUAACUGUAACUGUGAUUCUCUUGCUCAAGUUUUAAAUUUAUAUGACCAUGCAUCUUACUAUCUGAAUAUUUCUAUUUUUUUCAUGCUAGUCAACUGCUCAGACUGCUAACAGUAACUGAAUUGCCGGCCAAAUAUUGUGAAGUCUUCGUCUGUUCCUGUGGAAGCAAGAAAAACAGCUUUAGGAACAACUUAUUUUUAUUUUCAAUUUAAAUGGCACUAAGAGAAUGAUUUUUUGAAAUGAAGGUUUACUACAGGGAAAAUGUAUUAGCAUACGAGACUGAGACUAUAAAGAUUUUGAUGUUAAGAGUAUAGAAGUAAGUGUUACAUACUAGCAAAGCUGGCUCCACACCAUGCCCUUCUUUUAAUCCUUUUUUUUUUCCUUCCCUCUCUUCUUUUAUCCAUUUUCAAAUUAGACUAUGAAUGCUGUAGCUAUUAGAAUUGGUGCUUUUUUUAGCUAUUCUUAGAAUAAAAUUGCCACUGGGUUAUAUUUGUGUACUCAGUAAUUCUAGUCCCUAUAUAUAACAUCUGAGCAUAUCAAUAGAGAGGAUUUCGGCCUUUUGGUUUUCAAGUUUCAUGCACAGGUUUGUGCUUUAAAUGGCAGAGAAAUUAUAGGACCUAAUUAUGCAUAUGUUUUAUUCUCCUAAUGGGUUUUGUAGUACAUAUAUUGAUAGAAUUUGCACUUUCCAAUCAUAGAUGUUAAGCUUCUGAAACAUUUGUUUUCCUAUGAAAGGAGAUGGAUUAUCAGGACAAUUGUUAACAUCAUAAGUAUCAUGUUUGAGAUUCUGUGUUUAUGGGGUGCAUACUCUGUUACUCAUUUGUAUGAUAGUGUAUGAUGUGCAUAUCUUCUUGUUUCCCUUUUUCCUCCUAUUUUAGUUUGUUGCCUUGCUUUUUCCUCCUUCCAUUCAAUCUCUAGCUUCUGAUCGUGCGUUUGUUUGUCUAUCUGCAGGAAGGGAAAUUCACAAUUUACACUAUGCGGCCACUUCACAGUUUCCAAUAUGCGGCCAACUUUGAUCAAGUUUUUACUACUUAGUGUGCAGAAAUGGAUAUCGGUCAUUUCCACUUCUGUUACUAGGCCAUUUCAAUGCUUUGCUGCGAUUCCAAGUUGCAUCAUGGUUACACUGGUGCUUAAGUUUCCAAUUUCACAUAUGUUACAAUCAUUUUACAUCAGUAAACCAAUUAUAGAUUGUAAAUAGAUAAUGCUAAGAAAAGAUCGGUUUCUAUUUUUAUUUUUUUCCCUCAAAUUAUGCACUGCUCAGGCCUCGGUGGGAAUCACUGCGUUGUGGGUGGGAAAGCCGCUAAGUUAAUUCUACAACACCAUUGUAGUUGUCAAUGUGAAUACCAUCCACUGGAAAGAUGCUUUGUGUGAAGGAUAUUUGUUCUAAAUAGUGGGAGAAAGUCCUUGUAACCUAUAUGAGAACUUGAAUAUUUUCCCUGUUCGCAGAAAAGUGGCUAUGAUCCUACUUCUCAAUUCCACUAGCCACUUUACUGAAUUUAAUUAUCAUGGGAGUUAUCUUUGCUUCCGCUACCCGUAGUUUUCAGCAAAGAAAGAAUUCUUUAGCUAAUUUAUGCCUUUCAGCACUUGCUUUAAUAAACAUUAACGAAAUACAAUUUCUUUCAACUCUCUCCAUUGCUGCUAUAUAGAAGUAAUACUACAAUUAACUCUUGAGAUUUGGUGGAGCAACAAGAGAGUACCAUUUUCAAAAUUCCUCAAGCUUCACGGCAAAUCUGCGGUCCUGUUAUAUGUACAAGCCCCCUACUGCUCUAAAUACACAAAAAUAAUUAAAGCCCUUCCCUAGAAAAAAAGGAUUAUAUAACAAUUACAUGAAAGCUGACCCAGUGUUUUUUUUCCCCCAUUGCCAAUUAAUCAAUAUCUCAAGCAAAAGAGGUAUACCUCCAGAUAUGCGGAAUCCACCAUAUUUCAACCUCUAGAAGUCCCGAGAAAGCCAUAGAAAGCAAUACAAGUACAGGCAAAAUCUGCCUCAGAAGCUGGCCAGCACUGAGUCUAUUAGCGCAAGCUUUUAUAUAUUUUAACUCCGGAAUGGGGGUUGGUUUUCAAAAGGCAGCUCAAUGGUUGUUGCAUUUCCAUAAAACUCUUCCAAGUUGUAAAAGGCUCUCUGUUGCGGAAGAAAUAUGUGGAUAACCACAUCACCUGGAAUUAAGGCAAAAGUUGACAAAACAUAGUUUAUCAGCAUACUGAAGAAGUAAUACAUAUGAACAAAGAUUUUGGAGUCAUGGAUGUAGUAGGUGUUUCCCACUACAUGACCGUAAUUUUGUUCAGUUUUGCAGCAUUUGUACCAAUUAAGCUAGCAGAUGUUUCAAAGCCCACCAGUAAAAACAAAUGUCUUCAGAAACAUACAAAGCCUAACUCAUGAGUAAAUUUUGAGGUUCAAUUACGUUUCCAAGAUAUACUAAAAGCAUUAAACUAUAAAACCACACAUUCAUUAGAAGUUUCAUUAAAAAAAUUUCGGUUCAGAGUUUAAUCCAUCUAAAAAAGAUAAAUAUAACAAAGAAGUGUAUAGCAGCACCACACACAUGCAUAUGCAUAUAACUCAAAUCAAAGGAUUACAAUGGCACUUUAAAUCAAUUAGGUGAAUUUAAGUUGCAAGUUACAGAAUUAGUAUCUACUUCUUAUUUCUUUAUCUAUUUAUUUUUCAUGAAUUGAGGAAUGGUCUUGUGCUAGUGUACAAUUAAACAACAAAGAGAUUCCAGCUUACCCAGGUUACCAACCCAAAGAAAAGAAAUGCCUUAUACUUAGAAAACAGAUAACACAAAAUUUAAGAUGAUCCUAAGCCAAAAGCAGAAUCCUUGUUGACUGUUAAAUUGACAUGCAUGUCCUAUCAGCAUGGUUGCCGAUGUUUAAAUAAUUUCGAAAGGUGACUAAAACUCACUUGAACUUACACCCUUCUAACAACAAGACAGACUCUUAACUACCAAAAUUUUUACAUUUCAAACAAACUGCCUCAUUCAAUAAACAAAGAGAGGGGAAGAGGACAAUUUACUCAUUAAUAUAGCCUUGAGAUAGCCCUAAGAGCUAAAGCAUUGAAGUUGCUGUGGUUGAAAAUAAUUGUAUAAAGCAUCAGUUACUUCAAUAUAAAUCACAUAAACUUCUGACUGAAAAUCCUAGAAUCAUGGAUAGAAGUGUGAAUGUGUUUUCUUUCUUUGUGUUUGUUUGUUUGCUUGUCCAUUUCUGCAACGUAAGAAAAUUGGGACCAAUGUGGCAGGUAUCCCAUCCCUGCAGUCUUGCGUAACCAAGCUGUGAGUUUGAAGAGAAAUCACACUUGUGUAUUACUUCAAAAUGUUCAUUGUAGUUUCAAAAAUCUUUAGAAUAACAUAUUGUUACCCCACUCCAACAUGAUCAAAUAAUUAAUAGGAAGGAAAGGUCAGUGCAGGUUAUAAUACAGAGGUCUAUCACCUUAUCUACGCAAUGAAGCAUGUGGGAGCUUGUAGUGAUAUCUUGAUAGCAGGGUCAUAGCCACACAUACAUUGGAAGUUCGUUUUUUUUUGUUUUCAUUCUAAUUCCAUUAAAAUAAAUGAGAGUUUCAGUAUUGUCACGUAAAAUCACUCACCAAAGUCCAAAAGGGUCCAGGAGUUGGGUUUUGAAUCCCCAGAUGGAACCUUUCCAUACUCUUUCUCAGCAAGAUCUCUUAUUCUCGACCUAUAUUGCAAAUUGCAACAACAAAUGUCAUUCCAAGUAUUGUACAAAUACAGAAUGAAAACAUAGAAUUUCUAAAUCAAGAUAAGAAUAUCAAAAGUCAAAGUGAAUGUACCCAAUGGCAUCAAUCUGAGGACGAGAAAAUGCUGUUGCAAUGAUAAAAAAGUGAGUCCAAUAUACAAGAGGUUUCACAAAGAGAACCUUUAUAUCUGAAGCCUUCACAUCACUCACAACCUUUGCCAUUGCCACAGCAACUACACAUAAGGCAGGAAACAUCAGUAUGUAAUAAGGCUGAAAAUGGUUUGGAUGUGGAAGCUUGGUUUUGUUCCCACUCUUAAUUAAUUCAUAAGAAAAAUCCAAUAAAUUUUAAAUAUAUGAUCUGCAUAUCGAAGGAUAUGAUUGAGCAACCAAACUCUUGAAAACAGAUAACAGAGUUACAAAACAGAAACAAUGUUUAGAUAUAAUAUCUCAAAGUAAAUCGAGUAGAAAUCCAUAGAAGACAUGUCAAGUCCUCAAAAAUUUGUAAAGCCCACCCACACUCUCUCACAAAUGUGUUUACCCUUUAGUGCUCCAUAAAAGUGAAGGUAACAAUAACAACAACAACAUGGAAUCGCCAUUUAAAAGAAGAAAAGGUGCAUAGCUCUUUUGUGUCUAGAAGCUUAGAGGAUGUUCUAUACCAGCAAUAAUGCAACACUAAGCCAAAAUAUAUUGGAUGAAAUAUAAACAUCUUACAUUUUUGUAACACUGACAAGAAUGUUGAAUUAAUUAUGGGAUGACCUUACAUGAUAAGCUUUCAGCAUCAUCAUCAAUCUCUGCAGCUGGAGACUUUUGGUCGUUUCUCCUGUAGACCACUUUUCCAUACUUAUUCAACAAAUUGUCAAACAUUUCAUCGGUAUCCUCACUUACAUUCUGCCAUUGAUAUCAGUCAUGUCAUAAUACAGAACCUAAGGUACAGAGUUAAACUAAUGAAUUACAAGAACAGAAUACAGACAAUAUCAUUAUCAAUCCACCCUUCCAAUCAGUAAACAAUAUAAGAAUAUAUUCCAUUAAGGAAAAUUUUUAGGGAGAAAUUAACACAAAGUUAACAAAAACUGUACCGAGAGGGAGCUAUCUUCAGCAUCUUUUCCGUAAGAAAAAUGCAAAGGCAAGUCCCUUGGCUUGAAAUUGAUCGAGUUUCUACUUCUGGGUAUUUGCCAAAAGCACUUGCAGUUCAGCAAAUGGUGCCCAUUAAUGCAAAACCACUCAACAUGCUUUCUGGGUUUGUGAGAGAGCUUUGUUUCAAGACGACCCAGUGGAUGAAACUCGCAGGUAAAACGGGUUCCGGAAACGGCGCCGGCGAGAGAUAAAGUAGCGGACGCUAUCAUUGUUGCUUCGAAAUUCUAAUAACUGCUUGCUUCUAAUAGUGGGAGAGUUAAAAGAUCAGUAAAGUAAUCAGAUACUUUCCAGCUCUCGAAGAUGUCCUAUAACCAUAAUGAGAGAGACACUAAAGCUAUCUCCUUGGGCUGGCCUAGGGCUGUUAUGGGCCUAGAAGAUUGACGCAAUCCAAUUACAAAAAGAUGUCUUGAUGAUAUUGUUCAAAUUUAUUAGAAAUUUUUUUAGGUUAUCAGAAGUAUUAAAAAAAAUUAGCAAAAAAUAUUUUAAUUAUCAAAAUUUGAUUAAAAGAUUUCCCAUAAUUGAUUUAUUUGUCUUGUAUAAGGAAGGUUAUUAACACUUUCAAAACAAGAGAUCUAGAACAUACAUAUUUAAUUUACCAAUAAAUAUAAUUGCAGUACAUUUUAGAGAUAUGUUAAAUAUUAGGUCGGAAAUCAAUUCUAAAUAAUAUUCUGAGAGAUGUCAACUCUGAUCUAACAUUUUAGGAUAGAAAAUGAAUGCCACGAAGGGCUUGAACGCAUAAAUUUGAGUUAGAGUACAAGCCAUUAUGAUUACAUAGAUAGUAAUUAUUAUAAUUUAUUGAUAACUUUACAAUUAAAAAUUUACAAAAAAAACUUCUAAAUUAUUUAUGUGAUGCCAUAGUUCAAAUAGUUGAACCUAGAGUAAUUUUAUAAUAAGAGAAUAUCGUACAUUACUAUUUUUUUAUACAUAUUUUUACUUGUUGAUUCAUUUAUUGUAAAAUUAUUCCUUAGACUUAUAUUCUACAUCCAAUCUUCGAAAAAUUUUAGUAGGUAAGACUCAAAUAUUGGUGCCCUUAGCAUCAUCAUCAUUUAUAGAAUGAAUUGUACGGUAAAACCUUUUUAUGGUUAUAGUUUUGGGACCAAAACUAAUUUAUUAUUAUAGAAAGAUUAUAACUUAAUAGAUGUGCAGCUUCAAAAAUUAUUAUUUUGACUUAGUUAUCUUUAGUGAAAGAAUAUAGAGGUUAAAUAUAUACUACAUUAAUAAUUUACUGACAGAAUAUGUCAAAUUUAAUAUAUAAAAAACUUGUAGAUGCAUCUAUAUACUAUUGUUAGUAAUAUGCAAAGUCAUCUAAAACAUUUCUAAAUGUUUGCAUUCUCUUACAUAAUUUUCUAUUCUUGUUUAAUUGUAUUAUACGGAGACAUAUUCCAACAUAUAUUUUUACAAUAUAUAGAUAAUUAUUAUUAUAUAGAGAUAAGUUCCUUAAAACAAGUUCUUAAAAAAUAUAUGAAUUAUUACAAUAUGUUAUUAAUUCUUUAAUAUGUUAUUAACCCUUAAUUCUUAUUUAUAACUUGCUCAAACUGAGACUAUAAAUUUUUAUAGGAGUUUUAAUUUUUGGGUAAUUAACAGUGAAGUGCUUGUAUUUUGCUUAAAAACCAAAUAAACCAUUUAGUAAACGAAAUCCAUCGCAUCAGUGCUCCUAAAUUUAGCGUCUUCCAAAUAGGUCCCCGUGUUUUAUCCAUAUGACGGAAUGGCAUUUACGUAAUUGAAAGGAAGGCGAGGGCAUAAAUACCUCUCUUUUGAAUUACAACCCUAAUUAAAUUGCCACUCUCAGCAGCAGCACUCUCAUUGGAGCGAAGAUGGUGAAGUUCCUGAAACCAAACAAGGCAGUGGUCCUCCUACAAGGCCGCUACGCCGGACGGAAGGCGGUGAUCAUCAGGUCCUUCGACGACGGCACGCGCGACCGUCCGUACGGCCACUGCUUGGUCGCCGGCGUGGCGAAGUACCCGGUGAAGGUCGUCCGCAAGGACUCGGCCAAAAAGACGGCCAAGAAAUCGCGCGUGAAGGCGUUCAUAAAGCUGGUGAAUCAGAGCCACUUGAUGCCGACGAGGUAUACGCUGGACGUCGAUUUGAAGGACGUGAUUAAUCCCGAUGUCUUGCAGACUAAAGACAAGAAGGUGACUGCCGCGAAGGAGACCAAGAGGAGGCUCGAAGAGAGGUUCAAGACUGGCAAGAACAGAUGGUUCUUCUCUAAGCUCAGGUUUUAAAGAUUAUUGUUCAAGUUUUUGAGAUUUUUGUUUUUGUUUAGAGGAAAUAUUGAGUUUAGUUUUAUGCGGUCGUUUGAUUAUUGUUUCUUCAAUUAUUUUUGUUAUUUUAUUAUAUAUGAUCAUGAUUUUGCAACAUUUGGAAAUGCUAGUGAUGAACUGAAAUCAGUGGUUAGAAAAAAUAUUGUGACAAUUGAGAUGGGAGGUAUUCGAUUUGCUGCUAUUUGGUGACACAAAAUUCUCGGCCAAUUGUUUUGAAGAAAUAUAGAGACAUGGCUAAUAGAGAAAUAAUUUAGCAUGCUUUUGCAACAAUAGAAUCAAGUCAAGAUGUAACAUUGAAUCAUGGACUCUCUUUGCCCUAGUAAAAAUUUAAAAAAACAAAAUAUAAAUUUUCGAAAGAAAAGUAGAAGACCUUAAUUAAAUGGGUUUUAAAUAGCCUUACCCUUUAAUUAAUCUGUUGUUUUUCUUUCUCUCUUUUUCUUACCGAAAAUUGUCCAAGCAUUUAGAAUAAGUAACAAACACUUAUUAUGGUCUUCCAAAAUUUUGAUAUAUAAUUCUAAGUUUUUGUUUUUCUUCUUUUUUUAACACAACAAUAAUUUCAACUAAGAAAUUUCAACCUCAAUAAUAAUAUUUGCUUAAACACCAAACUUUUAUGAGUUUUUUUUUUGUUUUCUUAAAUACAUUAAAAAAAACAUAAAAAGAUCACACUUUCAAAAACACUAAACUUUUUAAUUUAUUUUCCAUCCCCUCCAGAUCGCUAAACACAAAUAGAUACUUGAUAACUUUUACAAGCUAUUAUCCUUCAUGUUUUUAUAACUAAUCAUGUCAGCUUCAACAUUCCACCUUCGCUCCUUACUAAUCAUCUCAAACUCAAGUAUUUUUAUAUAAUAUUUGAUACUUGAUAACUUUUACAAGCUAUUAUCCUUCAUGUUUUUUUAUAAUAUUUGCUCAAGUUUCUUUAUGUAAUAUUUUUAUCACAAUAUAUAAAUCGAUUGUUGGGUUCCUUAAUCCCAGAGGAAUAACAUAUAAUUGUGCAAUCUUGAGUCAAUGCAAAUGGUAUUACUUUUACUAAGAAUAAAUAAUUUAUAACGAAGUUUUAUCACAAUAUAUAAAUCGAUUGUUGGAUUCCUUAAUCCCAGAGGAAUAACAUAUAAUUGUGCAAUCUUGAGUCAAUGCAAAUGGUAUUACUUUUACUAAGAAUAAAUAAUUUAUAAUGAAGUUUUUAGUAAAAAUUAGUGUUAUUAGUUUCUCCUAAUAUCUCAAUAACCACGUAGCAUAUGAGAGUCACUUUCUAUUAGGUAUAGAUUUUCAUCAUGACAUUUGCAUCAAAAGAGAUGGUGAUAAUUACAUGCGUGUAUGCCCUCCAUACCUUCAAUCAAUUUUCAUGCUCUUGAGAUGACUACAUAUUUUACUUUAAAAAAAAAAACUUUAUUAGAGACUAAAUAGUACUCUAAAAAUGAUUAUUAAAUUAUAAGAUUUAGGUGCACUUUUGAAAUGCAAUUUCAUAUCAUAUUUUCUCUAACGAAAAAGGCACUUGCAACUCUAAAGUUUGGAGAAUUAUUACAAAAAUUCUUAAGUUUUUAAUAAGGGACACCAAAAUUCUCUUCUAAUUAUAGUAUCUUUUAACUCUAUAAACUUAAAAAAAUUGACUCUCAAAUUUAUAAUAAAUAGAAAUAUAGAUUAAGAAUAAUUUAAUAUUAUUAGUCUACUAGAUAUAUUAUAUUAUUUAUAUUAAAUUUGUAUUAAUUAAAAAAAUUUCAUACAAUUUUUUUAAUUAUUGUAUUUAAGUUAAAAAGAAAUCUUGGUGUCCCUUUUUUAAAAUUUAAGGGUUUUUGUAGCUUUGGAGAUGCAGGUCCUUUUUUCUUUUUCUAAUAGAAAAGUUUUGUUUGUUUUUUGAAUUUAAUAGUAACUAAUAGGAUUGAAUUUUUUUAUUCACUUAUUGCUACAUUAUAAAGGAGAACGAUGAGUCCCUAUUAAAACUCAUUCCCUUUACGACGAGGAAAUAAACAAAUUCAUUUUGUAUGGACCAUUAAUUCAGUACACAUACCCAUACGAUUGUAAUAAAAUCUGAAGAGUUAAGUCUAAAAUCAUAGCAGCAGAAAUGCUGUUAGAAAGAAUUUGUAUAAAGCGAUUCUUGCAUUAAUAGAAGAUUUUACAAUGUUAAAACUAUUCGUGUAUGCAAAACUUAAUCUCAUAUGAGUAAGAAAAAGCCACCAAGAGCCCUUAGAUUUGGUUAAAGGGUAAAAAUUUGUUCGCUCUCUAUAUUUCAAGGUAAGUGUUCAUUUAGUCCAUAUAUUUUUAAAAAUACUUCCAAACAUCUAAAUUAAGUUUUUUUUUUUUUUAACUUGCUUUUAUAAUGUUACCAUUUUAUAAUAAUAUUUUUUUAAUUUUUUUUAAUGUUUUUAAUGUUUUUUUAAUGUUUUUUUUACAUUAAUAAAAAAAAAUUUUUUAAUGUUUUUUUAAUUUUUGUGGAAUGCUCUGCUGAAGAGUUAAUAUAUUAAUUUUUUUUAUUAAUAUCCAAAAAAUAAUUUAUUUUUUAUAAUAUUAAUUUUUUUGGACUCGUGAGCUUCAAAAAAUGAAUAUAUAUGCUUUUUGUGUCUCUUUUACUUUUUGGAGGUUAAAUUAGUAAUUUAAUUUUUUCCUUUUAUUAAUGUAAAAAAAAGAAAUAUUAUUAUAAGAGGGUAAUAUUGUCAAACAAGUCAAAAAGAACAAAAGUAACUGCAAGGGUAUCAAUAAUUUAAUGGUAGAUGUGUUUUGAGGUACUUUUAAAAAUAUAAUGAUUAAAUAGACUUUUAUUCUUUGAUUAAAUGUACACGUAGACUUCAUUGGUUUCUAAAAUUAUCAUAUAAACUUCGUUUUAGACAAAUAUUCGGACUUUCCAAUUUCUGUAAUCAUUUUUUAACUUAAAGAAAGGUUUGUGUAACCAUUUCCUAAAUUGAUGAGUCUAUAUGCACAAUUAAAAUAAAUCAACUUCUACUGUUUGCUUAAAUAUCAUUAAAAAAAAGUAGAAAUGUUUUCAUAAAGCAUCAUUUAAGAGAGCGUCAAACUUUUUAUAAAGUAAAGUGACCACUGAGAAGGAGCUUCUUUUUUAUCUUAGUGAAUCACGACUAAAAUAAGGCAAUGGCUACCUUGGAGUUGCUCCAAGGUAGAGUACAAAUUCACAACCAUACAUGCAAAGUAAUAAAUAGUAAAAAACACGUUAUAACUUUAAUCGUGUGGUUAUAAAGGCGUGCUUUACCUUAUAACAGUUCUAUGAAGAGCUAUGUAUUGACUAGUGAAAUUGAAAGAUUUUGUUGCUCCUUUUGAUUAUCAACAUUGAAAGGAAUUUAAAUCUAUCACAAAUAGAUGUAGGCAAUUAAAAAUAAAAAAUUAACAACUUAAUUAAUUUUCAGAAAUAUUGUUCACUGUUACUGUUCACGAUUACUGUUCAUCAGCGUAAAAAAUAUUAAUUUUCUAAAAACACAAAAAAAAUGCAAAAAAUAAAUGACACAGAGAUUUUUAUGUGGUUGGGAUUAAUCAAUUCUACAUCCACGUGGCCACGCCCAAAUGAAAAGCAAUUCACUAAGUUGAGAUGUUACAACCUAUGGAUUUACUAAACUUAAGACUCUCACUUACAAUUUAUCACCAUACAGUUUACUCAACCUUAGACUGAAUCUGCUUCUCUUGAAUAAUUGCUACCCCUCUUGAUCCACGAUCCUUAAGGCACUUCGCAAAGUGGUCAAUAUCAAUUCUUCAAUUCUUCAACGUCUAGUGAUCCAAGAUCCACAUAAACUCUCCACAGAGAUGAAAAGAAUAUAAGAAAACAAAUCAACACAACAUUAUGCGCCAAAUCCGAACUCUUUAGGGAAGAGGCCGAAUUUUGCUUCUCUACUUUAUGCUCUAUGUUGUGCGUCAACCUUCAAUAGUAAAAUACCACUCUUUAUAUAGGCACUAGGGUUUCACGGGAGUAUUUCAAUACGUAAUGGACACAAACUCAUUGGUAGAAACAAAACAAAUUUUAUUACUGAAAAAAUCCCAAUACAAUAUGCACUUAAUUAAGAUUUGUAUAUCCUUCAAAUUUCAACACAAAGAGUUAUACCAGAUUGAAAAUCAAAUGCACAUUAUUAUUGAUAUUAUAUUGAAAUAUAUCCAUCAAAUUAAGUACUAAGAAAUAUUUAAAAAUGAUGAAGGUCAAAAUUAACCUCGAAAUCCAAAAUUAUCAGAAUGCCCUCACAGACCAACGACGACCAGAAUUCAUGCGACGGUGAUUGGAAAGGUCAGGAUAGAAACUUCAUACCACCCUGAAUCCAACAGUGGUGGCAAUGUGCUCUGAUGUGUGGCCACGACACCAAAUCAAGCUUCAACAGCCAUUAAACUUUAAUGGCUAAUCAGCGGUGAUUUCGCUGUUUUUUGUGACCAUUGCCAUUGGGUUUUGAAGAUGAUUUAAAAGAAAUGGUAGCACAUAAUCCAAGAUUGAAACAAAAAUUCCCAAAAAAAAAAAAACAAUUGAUAAUAACACAUUACUUUACUUAAUAUAAUUCAUAUAGACGUAUUUAGGACCAUGUAUGACAAAGUUGGUUGCCCCAUAUGCACAUGCUACUAUUACUUAAUGAAAAAUGUGGUUGCACCACAUCUUUUUUUUUUUUUUUGCGAAAAAGAUGACCUUUACCUAAGCAACACGUUUAUAAGAUACAAAUCAAGAUAACAUUUAUCAAUAUAUAACUCCAUGUCAUUGAAAUACAAUAUGAAACAAAAAAAAUAAAGAUAACAUUACAAACAAUAAAAAGAAUGAAAAAGUAAAAGUUGGUUUGCGAAGUAAUGAAAUGUAAUUACAACCACUAAAAGUAAAACCAGAUAGCCCAUUUUAAUCUUUUUCUCUCUCUCAUAGCUAUGAUAGUAACAACCUUGCACAAGUAAAAAGUUUGCUUGUCAAAUUUAAAAAAAAAAAUCGAUAUUUUGUUUAGCAUUUUUCUUUUUUGGGUUUGCAAGUUUCCAUAUUUAUGUAAAAAUGAGGAAGCAUGGGUGGCAACUACUUUACCCCUUGCCUCCUCGCCAACAAAAUCACAAACACAGACGUAGAGCUACCUCAUCAACAGUCUUGUACAAUCUCAACUUUCUCUGCCCAUCUCCAAUUGCAUUAACUUCAACCUUUAUAAAUCACAAAUAAAAAACCUUCACUCUCUCUAUCUCUAUCAUCUAAUGGAACUUCUUAACCAAACCCAUCAUCUCAUUUAGUCAUUCAGCCAAUCACUCACUCAAAAACUCUACAUAAUACAAAAUUGAACUAAACCAGUUAGGGCUUUAAACCAAAUUAGAUGAAGAAGAAGAACAAAACCUAAAAUUGAAGGUUCAGGGUUGCAAUCCUCUAGUUUGUGUGACUAUGUCAGGGAGUGGAUGGUUCGUGUCACAUUGUGCCAUCGCCAUUCGUGGUCAUAGUGGUCAGCUCAAAUUCAAUCAAUGGGUUUGUGAUUUGGGUGUUGUUGUUCGUUUGGUGUUGGUAAUGGCCAAUUGUGUAAAAAAAAGGGAACGGUUGGUUAGCUAGGGUUUGGGUAGUCGUAGUAGCUUACCGAUUAAUAGUAUGAAGAUGAGUGUGACUAGGUUUUAAAUGUUGAUUGUGAGAGUGAUAGUGAUGAUAUAUAUGCCUAGGGUUUGACUGCCAUUUGUUAGAGUAAGAGUGAAGAUGAGUAUGGUGAGUGUAGGCUGAUUGAUUGAAAGUGUGACAAUGACUAUGUCUAGGGUUUUAGUGUUGAUUGUGGAGUGAGAGUGACAAUGAGUGUGCCUUGGGUUUCAGUGGCCUUCAUGAGAGUGAAAGUGAUGAUGGCUGAGUAGUGUAGUGUUUAGGACUUGGAAAAUUCUUGGCUUGGUUUAGAUUUUGGUUAGAUGCACCAUUUUGUUUUUUAUAUAUAUUUUUUUAAAUCAUUUCACAAGCUAAACGCCACAUUUUGGAUUUUCAAAAAAUAAAAUAAUACUUUUAAAUUUGGUCAAACACGGUCAAUAUCAAAUUUUUAUCAUAAUGUUUGUGGCUGAGUUAAUUUCUAUCACACACAUAUAAUAAAUUCUUGAUAAACAAAUAUUUUGUCACAAGUACAUCAUUAAUCGUUUGAUAGACCAAAAUUCUAUCACGACUCCAUCGUACUUACAUGAUCAAAUGAUUUCUAUCAAAAAGUGGUUGUCAUCUAUUGUCAAUUUUCUUAUAGUGCUUGCAUUCUAAAAUAUACUUUAAACACUCAUAUUUUACAAAAUCCUAUAUUACUAAACUAACUAUGUAAUUUAAUUAAUAUAACAAUACUUUUUACACUAAUCUACCAUAUCUAAAUUUUUUUCUCUAUAGCUAGAUCGCCAUUCAAUUAAAAUUAUAAUGAAAUUAUGUACAACGACUUUUCAUGAUGUAUCAUUUUCUCUCAUGAAGACCACUGUUUUCAAAAGUCCCGUCCAUUCUUUUUUAUUUUCUUUGUGAUUUCCAUCAUUUCUUUUGAAAAUAAGCAAUUUUUAUCUAUAAACUUGGAAAAUAUAAGUAAACUCUCAUUUAGUCUUUAUAUUUUAAUUUAAAUAUCCAUUUACUUUUUAUAUUUUAAAAAAUAUCUCAAGAUAGCCUCUCCUGUUAAAUAUGUUAUAAUCGUACCCUUACUUUUUGAUGAGAACCAUCAAGAGAAUACCAUUAAAGUUUCAACAAAUCAUUUGCACAUUCAUAGAGGCCCAAUUACAAGAGUUAGAGCAAAAAAGAUGCAAGCUUCUUUAAAUGGAUUAAUUGAGAAAAUAUGGACUGAAAAUACAAUUCAAGAUGCAAGACAUCAUGAAAUGGGCUUGGAGAGAAGACAAGGCAUUGUGGGCAUUUUUCAAGUUAUUUGGCAGCCAAAUACAAAAUUUUGAUCAAAUGUAUAAAAGGCAAAUUUGGAAUAAAAUUGGUAUUGAUUGAGCUGGAACUAAUGUCCAAAGCUAUAUACCGUUGGAAAGAUAAUUAAGUUAACUUUUCAAUACAAUUUACAGAAUUGGAUUUGAAGUUCGCUAAAAGGUGUUAUGACCAAUUUAUUACAGUUUGUUCAGACUUGGGAAUUC
rnacentral:lncRNA from 1 species